CGCCACCGGCGGCGAGGCCGGCGCUGCGAGUUUGCUCGCCUCCAAGAUCGCCAGAAAAUUGGAGAAGACAUCGCCCGAAAAUAGGAGGCGACAUUGCCACGGCCAAGGACUGGAAGGGUUAGGCAUAGCUGUUUAGAUAGAAAUCUUGAAGGAAUCUGGAUGGGGAGGAAAAGAGGGAGAGAGAGAAGGAGAAGAAGACGGUGACGACGCAGCAAAUAUUUUUAGGAUCGAUUCUGACUUUGCACUCUAUGUCGCCGAAUCCGUGCGUUUCUAUAUAUUUCCUCCUCUCCGUUAAAACACAGCGGGUUCGCGCCUCUCUCUAUCAUGAAAGCUCUAUUGUUAUUUGUUGUUGUUUUUUCUUUGUUUGAUCACGAUGGGUAGGACUUAGGAUCACGAUGGGGUAGGAGAUCACGAAGCAGUGCCUAGGAGAUUACGAUGAGCUGUUGCAGUGUCUAGAUCUAAGGAGCCAUCCAAUUUCACAGUCAAGACAACUCGGUGAGGUUGUUGAUUUGAGAGUAGAAUCAACUUACCAAAAUGUGCUAUCGGUAUCGAGUAUCCUACGUAUCCCUCUCUUUCUCUCUUCUUUCUUUCUUUUUCCUUUUUUGGUAAAGGUUUUACAAAAAAAAUCUAAUAUGAUCAGUCAUGUAGCAGCAAUCCAUAUGUUGGUUUGUGUUUUUUUAUGAGUUUGGCAAACAUCAAGCUUUAAAUUGACGCAUCAUUCAUGCAAUGGAUGUAAUUGGUUUCGUCAAGGCAUCAAGCCUAACAUUUAAAUUGAUGCAUUAAUCAUGGUUUGCACUAACUAGGCUAUUAGCAGAAUGAGUUUUAUUUCUGUUUUUUUUUUUUUUUAGAUGCAAAAGUGCAUCUUGGGUUAGUUACUUUGUUUUGUCAUCAACAUAAGCUAAGGAGGCGUAGUUCCUUGUUAGAGUUAUCUUCUUAAUAGCUUUAUCAGUUUGUGCUAGAAUUUGGGUACCAAUUGACUUGUCAAUAAAGAAACCAUGCUUAGGGUGAUUAUCGGAACGACAUUUUUUGUAAAGACUUCUCCUAAUAUUGGUGGCAUAGGCAAUCUCUUU